GUGCCAGCAGCCGCGGUAAUACAGAGGUGGCGAGCGUUAUUCGGAUUUAUUGGGCGUAAAGGGCGUGUAGGCGGCUCUGCACGUCGGGUGUGAAAGCGCUACCGCUCAACGGAGCGACGGCACUCGAUACGGCGGAACUUGAAUCCGGUAGAGGUGGGCAGAAUACCUGGUGUAGCGGUGGAAUGCUUAGAUAUCAGGUAGAAUACCCGAGGCGAAGGCGGCCCACUGGACCGAGAUUGACGCUGAGGCGCGAAAGCGUGGGGAGCAAACGGGAUUAGAUACCCCGGUAGUCCACGCUGUAAACGGUGAGCACUAGACGUGGCGGGUAUCCACUCCUGCCGUGUCGCAGGUAACCCUAUAAGUGCUCCGCCUGGGAAGUACGGCCGCAAGGUUGAA
rnacentral:rRNA from 1 species